CAGAAAGUGAUCAUGUGUACUAAUUAAUGGACUCAAAUGUUUUUUUUUGUUUGUUUUGUUUUGUUGUGCGGCUUUUCUUGUUCAAACAACGCUUAAAAGACUCCCUCUUCACAAGUGUAUAAGCUCAGGAAAUAAAGCAUCCCCUGUCGGCGAACAUGCCAGUGUUUUGGAAAACUACUGACUCUAGUGGGAGGAAGUAAGUGGAAGAAGAGCAGCACCAACUCGCUCCUCAUCAUCUAUUUUCUCUCCUCCAUCUCUAUUUUUUCAAGUCAGAUUGGAAGCCAGCGGAAGGCCAUGUCUGGAUCCUGAAAUAGGCAGACAGGGUCACAAGGUGAUGGGCGGAGGGGACUUCAGGACGAAAAGGGAAUUCCCGAACUUUUACCGGCUGGAGGCUACAGGGCUGACUGCAGCCUUGUGAGUGUUGUUAUACAGACGUCCCUCACCACAUCCCACUUCAACGUUUGCAACCUACAAAGAUGAAGAAUGACUCGUAAUCCUCGCGAAGAAAAGGAGGGAUAGAACCAGGCGUCUUUUCGUGUCCUCCUCGCCAUUCCUGGGUCUAAAUUGGCUGCCAAAGUGUACCAACUUGUCGGAAUACGUCCUCAUCCUUCUACUAUCCAGUGCCCAUGUUCAGGGAACAACAGCAGCAAAAAGUCCAACCGUACUCGGAACGAGGUGGGAGCGGGUGAAGAGUGCUUUCCCCGUCAGGUGUAGCAAUCAAAGGCGAAAACUGGAACGACGACUUCAAGAGCGGCGCGCGCGGCGAAAGCGCAUGAAUAAUUGGAGAGAAGCGAUCAAAGCACAACUGUGACAUGAAAUAAAUGAAUUAAAAGGUGGGGUUGGGGGGUGAAAUAAUAUCGCCAUCUGGAUGAGGAGUCCUCGAAGCCCCUCACCGACGUUGGCUUCAAUUGGAACUUUUUGUGUUUGUAAUUGUUUAAUGUGAUUUUAAAAGUAAAGUUGUGUAUUAUUGGUUUAAACUACACGUAAAUACCUACAGUAUACACACUACGUACACACACACUGGACCCACAAAAAGAUCCUCCUCAAGUUUUAUUUGACCCUAUGUUGUACAUCCUGCUGA